rnacentral:sRNA from 1 species
UAAGACAAGUAGAAGCACCCGCUUCUCACCUGAUUGACACCCUUUGGGUAGUUGACUGGUCCUUAACUCUGAUAUAGACGAAUGGAGACGUGUGGGUGCAUAUGCCCACACUUUUUUCAUGAA